UGUAAGCGUAUACCAAAGUUGUUGCAGUUAAAAUGCUCGUAGUCGGAAUUUGGCAGUUCCGGAUGUGUGCACGUCGUGUGCGCACUUCGCGGGGAUUGCUUUUGUGGUCUUGCGUAGGAUGAGGCACUUUUAUUAGUGAACGUCCUCACGCAACCACUUUUUACUGUGAGAAAAUCAGAGUGCUCAAAGCAGGCAUUUGCCGUGAAUGUAUUAGCAUGGAAUAAUAGAAUAGGACUUGGUUCUAUUUUGUUGGUUUGUUGGGACUGAGUAAUGAUUAAGAGGGACAGUUGGGGGCAUUUGUAUUUCGGUGCUAGAGGUGAAAUUCUUAGAUUACCGAAAGACAAACUGCUGCGAAAGCGUCUGCCAAGGAUGUUUUCAUUGA
rnacentral:rRNA from 1 species